rnacentral:sRNA from 1 species
UUAGCGAUGCGCCCGUAUUUGUGAUAUUUUACGUUGUGUAUUUAUUUAAAUUGUUUGAAACAAUGUUUUUUAUGACAGUGCACUUAAUAUUUUCGGUUUGAUUAAAGUAUAGAUGUAUAUAUACACUUCCAAAUUAAUGUUAAUCCAGCU